rnacentral:rRNA from 1 species
UACGAAGGGGGCUAGCGUUGCUCGGAAUCACUGGGCGUAAAGAGCUCGUAGGCGGUCUGUCGCGUCUGCUGUGAAAACUCAGGGCUUAACCCUGAGCUUGCAGUGGGUACGGGCAGACUAGAGUGCGGCAGAGGAGACUGGAAUUCCUGGUGUAGCAGUGAAAUGCGUAGAUAUCAGGAGGAACACCGAUGGCGAAGGCAGGUCUCCUGGGCCGUAA